rnacentral:lncRNA from 1 species
CUCGACAAGCAGUGAAAACACCCCCUCGGAGGUUACCCACUGUGAUGGUCCGCUCUCCUAUAGAUUCAGCCUCCCCAGGAGGUGAUUAUCCACUUGGGGACUUGACUUCAACCACUAUGGAAGAGGCCACCUCUGGGGUGAGUGUUAUUUCCAUCCAUUGGAAUUGAUCAGUGAAGGGUGCAAUAAGCCAGCAGAGAGCUGAGUGAUGAGGAAACCACUUUUGACCUAGGAGCAACUUCUUGGUCUGAACACUAAAGACUAUAAUUUACCAUGUUCUGUGCUCGAAGAUAAGGACGGACCUAAAAGCACUGAGGCUUUUGACCUUUUUGAGAGAUAGGGAAAAGACUGCAUUCAGGAAUUCUUUGCUGUGUAUCUUAGUCCUAUGAAAUUCCUGCUGAAAUAAGAGACAAUUCCUUGUAAAUAUAAUACUGGUAGGGGGUGAGGAGUUUGUAAAUGGCAGAUUGGAUGGAAUGGUUGGGUCAUCAUGGGUUUGAGUCAGUAGAAGAGAAAAUAACAUGGGGAAGAAAAGUAUAGCUAAGAUUAGGGGGUAGAGGGUUCUGGGCAUUUCCACUCAGAACUAAUAAAACCAUACUAACCCAUCCAGAUUAGUAGGGAGCCUUCCAUAGUUUGAGAAGUCAGAUAAAGGUUCUCUGUUGUCUCUUAGGUAACCCCUGGGACUUUGCCGAGUACCCCAGUCACCUCGUUUCCUGGGAUUCCUGACACCCUUCCUCCAGGCUCUGCACCCUUAGAAGCCCCCAUGACCCCAGUAACAGAUGAUUCACCCCAGAAAAAGAUGCUUGGACAGAAAGCAACUCCACCCCCCUCCCCUCUGCUGUCAGAGCUCUUGAAGAAGGGCAGCCUCCUGCCUACUAGCCCCAGACUGGUAUGGAGACUUCUGUGGGUGUUUGAGAGCUGUGGUGAUUUUAGUACUUGGAAGGGAAUGCCUGGGACCUAAAAUGUGACAUGGACAAAAAAGUUCAAAGGAGGAAGAGAUGUCUUAGUUAAAUGUUAAUUUAAAACAAUAAGUUGAUAGUAUCCUUGGGUCCUGAGAUAUCUGAGCCACAAUUAUUUUGGUUUUCUUCCCAAAGAACUCUUGACAAAUAAGUUCUGAACAUUAGAGUUUCCCUUGGGUUUGAAUUACUCUCUGUGGAUAGUAAGUUUUAGUUUUCAAGAAGUUUGGUUGACAGAGUUUUGGGGGGAAGUGGUAGUAAAGGAAAGCUUGAGUGUAGCCUUCACCUCUAUUCUUCCCUGGUAGGUCAGUGAGAGUGAAAUGGCUGUUACUUCUGGCCAUCUGAACAGUACAGGUGUCCUCCUGGAGGUAGGCGGGGUCCUUCCCAUGAUACAUGGUGGGGAGAUACAGCAAACACCCAAUACUGUUGCAGCUUCCCCUGCUGCCUCAGGUAAGUCAUCACUCUUCCUUUGUCUACUUCAGAGAUGGUUUCAUUAUUAUUAAGGAAUUGUUAAUCCAUAACUACUUUUUUUUCUAACUUUGUUUUGGAGCUGCUUUAGCUGUUAAAACACAUAGUGCUUGAAGGGCUGGGGUUUUAGCUCAGUGGUAGAGUGCUUGCCUAGCAUGUGUGAGGCACUGGGUUUGAUUCUCAGCACUGCAUAUAAACAAACAAACAAAAAAAUAAAGGUCCAUUGACAACUUAAAAAAACAAACAGUGGCUUGAAAUUAUUAAUCCAUUCCAUCUUCAAAUUGUUGACAUCCCUGAAACUACAGCAUAGCUAUUGAUGAGAGGAACUUGAAGUUAAUAGUGAAGCUGCUUCUCUGUGGCUUGUAAAAUUGUGUAAAGGUGCUGGAGAUACCUAAGAUAAUAGAAUAUGGGAAAGAGAUUUGGCUUGAAUCUCAGGCCUGCUACGCAUUGGGUUUGUAAUCUGAUAGGUGACUUAACUACUGAGGCUCAAUUUUCUGUUUUAUUAAUUGUGAUAUAUAUGCUAUUCAUUGAUAUAGUGAGAAUUAAAUGAGAUAAACAAAAUAAAGCAAAAAAAUGCUUUACAAAAUACCUUAUAAACAUUAGAUAUUGGUAUUUGAAUCAUGUUGAAGUUGGGUAGUGUAUAGCAUGUUGAAUCUCAACAGAAAUGAUAUUUAUUCAGACCAGUUUUUUUAUUCUUGGUGAUUAUUUAAUUUUCCUCUGAGGAAAGGUACCACCCAUUUUUCUUAUGUUGUGUAUUCUAGUACUUUGGUUUAUUCCUAAUUUAGAAUUUUGGUUCAUUCCUAACUUGGAAAAAGUAAGGUUAGAGAAAAUAAAACUAUAGAUCAACAUAGGAGUUGCUUUCAUUCUUUGAGACCAUAAAUUUUUUCUUGGUUGAAUCUUAGAGUGGCUAUUGCUUCUUGUUGGUGUGCUUUCUUCUUACCUCAUUUUGUAUACCUCUUUGUUAGGUGCUCCCACUCUUUCCCGGCUUUUAGAAGCUGGUCCUACACAGUUCACCACACCUCUUGCUUCCUUCACUACUGUUGCCAGUGAACCUCCAGUUAAACUUGUGCCACCCCCUGUAGAGUCUGUGUCCCAGGCUACCAUUGUCAUGAUGCCUGCGCUGCCAGCACCAUCCUCUGCUCCGGCUGUCUCCACUCCUGAAAGUGUAGCUCCAGGUGCGUCUUGACCCACGCCCUGAGCAGCCACUAGGACCAAAAUUUCAUUUUGAGC